GGGUUGUGAGGUUAAGCGACUAAGCGUACACGGUGGAUGCCCUGGCAGUCAGAGGCGAUGAAGGACGUGCUAAUCUGCGAUAAGCGUCGGUAAGGUGAUAUGAACCGUUAUAACCGGCGAUUUCCGAAUGGGGAAACCCAGUGUGAUUCGUCACACUAUCAUUAACUGAAUCCAUAGGUUAAUGAGGCGAACCGGGGGAACUGAAACAUCUAAGUACCCCGAGGAAAAGAAAUCAACCGAGAUUCCCCCAGUAGCGGCGAGCGAACGGGGAGCAGCCCAGAGCCUGAAUCAGUGUGUGUGUUAGUGGAAGCGUCUGGAAAGGCGCGCGAUACAGGGUGACAGCCCCGUACACAAAAAUGCACAUACUGUGAGCUCGAUGAGUAGGGCGGGACACGUGGUAUCCUGUCUGAAUAUGGGGGGACCAUCCUCCAAGGCUAAAUACUCCUGACUGACCGAUAGUGAACCAGUACCGUGAGGGAAAGGCGAAAAGAACCCCGGCGAGGGGAGUGAAAAAGAACCUGAAACCGUGUACGUACAAGCAGUGGGAGCACGCUUAGGCGUGUGACUGCGUACCUUUUGUAUAAUGGGUCAGCGACUUAUAUUCUGUAGCAAGGUUAACCGAAUAGGGGAGCCGAAGGGAAACCGAGUCUUAACUGGGCGUUAAGUUGCAGGGUAUAGACCCGAAACCCGGUGAUCUAGCCAUGGGCAGGUUGAAGGUUGGGUAACACUAACUGGAGGACCGAACCGACUAAUGUUGAAAAAUUAGCGGAUGACUUGUGGCUGGGGGUGAAAGGCCAAUCAAACCGGGAGAUAGCUGGUUCUCCCCGAAAGCUAUUUAGGUAGCGCCUCGUGAAUUCAUCUCCGGGGGUAGAGCACUGUUUCGGCAAGGGGGUCAUCCCGACUUACCAACCCGAUGCAAACUGCGAAUACCGGAGAAUGUUAUCACGGGAGACACACGGCGGGUGCUAACGUCCGUCGUGAAGAGGGAAACAACCCAGACCGCCAGCUAAGGUCCCAAAGUCAUGGUUAAGUGGGAAACGAUGUGGGAAGGCCCAGACAGCCAGGAUGUUGGCUUAGAAGCAGCCAUCAUUUAAAGAAAGCGUAAUAGCUCACUGGUCGAGUCGGCCUGCGCGGAAGAUGUAACGGGGCUAAACCAUGCACCGAAGCUGCGGCAGCGACGCUGAUGCGUUGUUGGGUAGGGGAGCGUUCUGUAAGCCUGUGAAGGUGUGCUGUGAGGCAUGCUGGAGGUAUCAGAAGUGCGAAUGCUGACAUAAGUAACGAUAAAGCGGGUGAAAAGCCCGCUCGCCGGAAGACCAAGGGUUCCUGUCCAACGUUAAUCGGGGCAGGGUGAGUCGACCCCUAAGGCGAGGCCGAAAGGCGUAGUCGAUGGGAAACAGGUUAAUAUUCCUGUACUUGGUGUUACUGCGAAGGGGGGACGGAGAAGGCUAUGUUGGCCGGGCGACGGUUGUCCCGGUUUAAGCGUGUAGGCUGGUUUUCCAGGCAAAUCCGGAAAAUCAAGGCUGAGGCGUGAUGACGAGGCACUACGGUGCUGAAGCAACAAAUGCCCUGCUUCCAGGAAAAGCCUCUAAGCAUCAGGUAACAUCAAAUCGUACCCCAAACCGACACAGGUGGUCAGGUAGAGAAUACCAAGGCGCUUGAGAGAACUCGGGUGAAGGAACUAGGCAAAAUGGUGCCGUAACUUCGGGAGAAGGCACGCUGAUAUGUAGGUGAAGUCCCUCGCGGAUGGAGCUGAAAUCAGUCGAAGAUACCAGCUGGCUGCAACUGUUUAUUAAAAACACAGCACUGUGCAAACACGAAAGUGGACGUAUACGGUGUGACGCCUGCCCGGUGCCGGAAGGUUAAUUGAUGGGGUCAGCGCAAGCGAAGCUCUUGAUCGAAGCCCCGGUAAACGGCGGCCGUAACUAUAACGGUCCUAAGGUAGCGAAAUUCCUUGUCGGGUAAGUUCCGACCUGCACGAAUGGCGUAAUGAUGGCCAGGCUGUCUCCACCCGAGACUCAGUGAAAUUGAACUCGCUGUGAAGAUGCAGUGUACCCGCGGCAAGACGGAAAGACCCCGUGAACCUUUACUAUAGCUUGACACUGAACAUUGAGCCUUGAUGUGUAGGAUAGGUGGGAGGCUUUGAAGUGUGGACGCCAGUCUGCAUGGAGCCG
rnacentral:rRNA from 1 species